GGCGACGUACAUCUAGGUCUGAUCGCGCUCGCCAAGUGUAGGUCAGAGCAGCAAAUGCAAGGAUGGAGGUGUGUGGCAGCUUCGGCGGACUCAGGCGCGGUUGCUGGCCGGACACAUCGAUAGCGCCAUGACCGCCCAGCGCGAUGGGACGGCGGCCGGGCAGGUGGGACAGCGUAUGGCUAUGGCAUUAGGAGGAAGGUAAUCGUGGGGACCGAAUCCAACACCGUUUGAGGAAGAAUGAAAUCAAGCUAUGGAAAGGGAGAAGAAGCGCACCUGUUGCUUCGCUCUUUCUGUGCCGCUGUUGCAGAUCGAUUUAAUCGGAGAGAAAGGGGGGUUGCGAGACUUGUAUAUUUAUACCCGGGGGAGACGAACGGUCGGGGAUGCGAGGCGGUGCCAGCUGCAGGGGGCACCGCGGCGGUGCUGUUGGACCGUGGGCUCUUUUUGUGGCGCUCGGCCCCAUCGACGGUGCGCGUCGCCGCCUACUUCGGCCAAUCGGUGCACCCCAUAUAUCCGCCUCCCUCCCUGCACGCCUCUGCGCUUCCCUCCCCAGGCGCCUCUGCUCCUCUCUCCCGGGCCGCCGCCCGUGCCCCCAGCGUGCCUCCCCCACCGCCCGCCUCUGCGCCUCCAGGGCCGACCGCAGGAGCCAAGGAAGGAAGGAAGGAAGUAGAUAGUAGCAGCAGCGGGCCGGGAGAUCAGAGGCCCCACCUCAUGGCGGGAGGCAUGCUCCUGACCGCGCCGCCGGCGCUCGCGGCGUCCGGGAGCCCGUACGAGGCGCUGCGGGUGGGACGCGCCGGCACGCAGGUGGAGAUCAAGGGCGCGUACCGCGCCAUGGCCAAGCGCUUGGAGUUGAGUGCCGGCCUGCUCUCCACGCCGGGGUGCAGGCCGACGUCUGGGAACGGGACGACAGCGAGCUCGACAACCUGGGCGCUCUCGGUGCUGCGGCACGCGUGUUGCUGCGGACGACGGGUGUGCCGGAGGUGCGGGCGUUGGGCAACCUUCCUGAUGCUGCUCCCAUGCUCCGAGGUAAUAUUUGUUUUGGAUCCCCUCCCAGUACAACAACUUUCCCCCCAAACGAUCAAUAGGAAUUCGGAAUCUAGAGUGAGCAGUACGUCCAUUUGGAAGUAGCAAAGAUGCAACCCCUGAUGAAGCCACUGUGAGUACAAUUUUUCUUUUUGCUCUUAAAUAUGUAAUAAUGGUAUUCCAUAAAAAUGUUUUUCCAGUUCCACCAUGUCCAAUAAUAAAGAAAAUAUUUGGCUCUUUAUUUAGAACAGAGUUGACUAUACUAUGGAAUGCAUUUCUUUGAUCAUUGUUUAGUUGGUAGUAGAGUUUAUUUGAUUCUUCUUCUAAUUUGCAGUAGUCAUAGUUAAGUUCUUCUUCAAUCAAUUUUUUAUUUUCAUCGAUUCUGUACUGAGUUGUCUUGUGUGGUAGAUUAUAGGUGUACAUGCUAAUCCUAUUCUUGGCAAAUAUUUCUUCAAGCUGUUCUAGUAAUUUGUCUUGUACCUCUUCAUCUGUUGGUGUAUAUAUUACUGGUUGAUAUUUGUGUACUAAGUAUCGCUCAAUGUCAUCACUCAUUUUUCUCCAAUUUUCAUUAUAAAAUUUUCGCUCAUCUUGUAGAUUGCAGAAUACAAGCAUGGUAAAGAACAAAUAUCGUAAUUGUGAUGCUGUUGCCCAAUUUGCUGCUUCACUAAAUGUAUCAUGCCAUUCCUUGUCAACUUUUAGUAACCCCCUUGCUGCGCAUGCUUCCUUGAAUGUUUCAUACAUUGUUCCAUUGUAUUUUUUUAAGUCAUCAUAGUUUUUUGCUCCUUUAACUAUCAUAAGUAGCAUCCGUAAAUAGAAGCGUUCUCCUUCUAUUGGAUUUACAUAGUACAAUCGACCAAUCUUAAAUUUUUGUUGUCUCUUAGUCCAUUUCCUAUUUUUUGCAUCCCAGGUCCACUCUUGGGGGAAUUCGCAGUAUGUUAAUUUUCUUGCAUCUUCAUAGUUUUUAUUUGCUUCAAACCACUCUGUCAAUUUUGUUUUAUGUAAUUUUGGAUCUGUAGCAAUUGAUUUCAGUUUAGUUGCUUUACGUAUUGAUACUAUAUUUUGUAAUGGUAAAUGCACAGGCAACCGUUCGACUGGUGGCCAAUGGUAAUGUAUGUCGUAUCCUAAAAGUCUCCAUAGUGCAUCUUGCUCACAUAUGUAUCGACAAUCUAGGUAUUCCUUAAUCUCAUCAAUGUCUUUUAACCUUUUUGUGAACCUUCUUGCUCUCUAUUGCAAAUUUGUUCAAAGAUCACGGUUGCUUGAUCUGCCUUUUUGUUAUCAUAUUUGCAAAGAUAUUUUAAUAAUUUGCUCUUGUUCACAUAUUCUACAUUUAUAUGAGCUUGAUAUUUUUUAAGUAGUUUCAAAUUAUAUGGAACCACCCAUCUGUUAUCUAAGUUGUGGUUUCCUCUUCUAAUAUAAAUCUUACUGUCGCGUCUGCGAUAUAGUGUAAACCCAUCAUCUGUAAAUGUUGUUUCAUGUCUGAAAUCUUUAGGAUAAUAUUUUGAGCAUUUUCCUUUUUUCAUGCAAGGAGAACUUUCAUUUUUGUCACCACAGGGUCCAUGCAUCAUAUGUUCAGAUACAAGGACAUAUCCUAAAGGAUCUUUUUCUGGAUCAGGAAUCUCAGCUGAUAUCCAUGAAUCAAUUAUUUCUGUAUUGAUAUUUAUUUUUUUAUCUAUCCACACUAAUAUAUGCACAUGUGGCAAUCCUCUUUUUUGAAAUUCUAUUGAAUAUAAGAUAGCAAGUACAGGACCGAACAGUUUACCAGACCAGAUAUCUUGUAUAAAUUGAUUUAGUUUCAUAUGGAACACUCUGACUAUAACAUCAGGUCUAUCACUUGGUUGUUCACCAGGUUUUAAAGCACGAAUUAUUUCUUCCCAUCUAGGGUUAAAUGUGAACGUUAUAAAAAGAUCUGGAGGUCCAUAUACUCGACAAAUAGCUAUUCCAUCAUGGUAGUUUUGUAUGACAACGUUUUGAUCCUGUAUGGCUUGAUGGUAAUAAUAUUUUCUUACCAAUUUGAUUGCUAUCAGUGAAUCCUUUUUCUAUUGCAUCAAAGACACCUUGCAAAUAUUCAGCCCGUAGUUUAUCUUGGUUUCUAGCUAUGUAUGCCAAUCUAUCUUCAUCUUCCAUUGCACGUGCAUAUACUAUUGCUUGUUUUGAUAGCCUUCCGUAGCUCAGAAAUGGAUUUGGUUGACCUGGUCUGUAAUGCAUGUGAUACUUGUAAUAUUCAUGCAUUGUAACAUUUUUCCUCUUCUUAUUGUUAGUUGCAUUAUUUUGAUUCUCAUAAUAUGGUAUACCAAGUUGGAAUCCUCUUUCACCAUAAGGGAAUAGUAGUGGAUAUUGCAAUGCCAUAUAUGCUGGAUGGAAAAUAGUUAUACACUGGAGGCCUCUUUGUUUUGUACUAACUAUAAUAUCUCUUUUAUAUUUCUCAAGACUUAGGUCACCGACUACUAGCAUUGCUAGUUCUUCUAUGUGUGGCUUUUGAUAUUGUACUGCGUCACCUUUUCCUGCUCCUAGUAUGCGUAUGCUUAUAUCAAUUCCUUUAUUUUUGUCAAGUAAAUCACGUGCAUGUCGAAAUAUUUUUACCAAAGGAUUGCAUUUGUCAAGCAUAUCUUUUAGGUGUUCGACUAUAAAUGGAUUAAUAUCUGAUUCAUUUGAUUGUUCUUUAUUUAGCGCCUUAAUUCUAUUUUCAAUUCCAUUCUUUGUGAAAAAAACAUAUAAUUCAGCAUAUUCUGGUCUAUGGCCUUGCUCUGGAAGCAAAGAUCCAAUGCGAUGAUGUAUUUGUCCGUUUAUGCAAAAUAUGUAUGGACCCUCACCUUUGUUAAUAUCUUUUAUUAUAUUGGCACCCAUUGAGGUAAAUGCAAAUAGACUGUUGUAUUGCCUUAUUUUUUGAAAGAAAUGCCUUGAUAUUGGAUUGUUUUUAUUAUUGACUAAUUGUGAAAGUAGCUCUGGUGGAUUUUUGUAUGGUGGUAUUUUUAUCUUUCCAUUUUUGCAACAGUUUGUAUACACAAUUUGUCUAUUUCGCUGGCUUUCUCGCUCGUUAUGUUCGUUGUACCAAAACAUUGCAUUGCAAUGUUUGCAUCUAUAGAUAGGUUUGCCUAAAUAUGACCUUUCAUUAUAUGUUUGUUUCAAUUGCUCAAUAUAUUCAGUUGAGAAAGAUACCAUACCUCGACAACUAUUCAGAUACGAAUGGUGUGUGUCUGGUGCAGGUAUUAUUACCCUUUUAUUCUUUUCAGUUGCUUCAUCACUGGUCUCAUCAUUUCUUUUCCUUUUCUUUUUCUGGAGCACUGAAAUUCUUUCUUGUCUAAAUUUUUUAUAUUUUGGCUCAAUAUUUGUUUGAUAUUUCCUUUUUGUUCGUGCCAUUUAUGUGCUGUAUAUAUGCCUUGAAAUUUUUCUGUAAAUAUUGUCGCUUAUAUAUAUGGAGGCUUACAUAUAUAUCAGUUUUAUAUAUCUGAUUAUUGGUUAGCUUAUUUUCGCAGGCUAUUUUUUGGGCAACAAAUAGUACAUCAAGUCGUUAGUAUAGUCCUUGAAAAAAGAAAAAUAGAAGUGGAGUUGAUCUAUGUAGUAGAAGAAAGAUUCAUUGCACAGUACAAUCGAAAUAGCAACAUUAAAAUGUGGUUGAUGAGAAAAACUGCAGCUAGCGUGAGUAAUUGGUGAAGUAUUGAGGCAGAUCAAUACAGGGUAAGCUAUUAUUUUUUUCCCUACUUAGAGUGUGGAAUGUAUAUUUCUAAUUCUAUCGAAUAGGUUUGUGAAGGAUAGAUAGCUUAACGCUAUUAAAUUUCAUGAACUCUGGUCUGGGUUAUGGCAUGAAUGUAGUUGGACUUGCAAUUGAAGGUCCCUGUGAUUCCUUUGUGAAAUAAUUGUUGGCACAUUUCUAUGUUUACUCCUUACUUUUCUUGUAUCUUUAUGCCGUAAUAAAUUAUUUGUGUCAUUUGUUCAAUUAGGUUGGUGAUCAGUCACAGCGACAUCAAAACGCACCAUCCUUAGCGAUCUAAAUACGGAUUGCCAGAUGAGGUUUCAUUGGCACUGACCAGUAUUGCUUAUGAGGCACUUCAUGGUGAUAUUUGACAGUAUCAGCGUGAGAGGACACUAAAUGGAUUUCGUCAAGGGAAAUUUAUUGUUUUAGUAGCAACUGAUGUUGUUGGCCAUUGUCUGCAUAUACCAAAUGUUGAUUUUGUGGGUUUGCAAUCUAAUUAUUGAGAAUCUUCAAAUUAAGGGAACAGAUCAGCUUACCUGUCGAUUUGUUGCUUUGACUUUCUUCAGUGGCGUUGAGUUCCUGAUUUUGGGUUAGUGCACGAAGUGGAGAGAAGGAAUAGUAGUAGAAUGGAGGAGUUGUUGAAGACAAUAGUAGAAGAUGUACUGAUGCAGCGUGUACAUAUUAUAUAUAUGUUUGUUGUUUCCCAGCGGUAGAGUUUUGGUGACCUGUUUGGAACGGUGUGGAACAUUCUUUUCAGCGGACGUCUCCCUUGUUGUAACGGGCCGAGCAGACCAGGCCGUUCUGGAA